UGCCAGCCGCCGCGGUAAUACGUACUGGGCGAACGUUAUUCGGAAUCACUGGGCUUAAAGGGUGCGUAGGCGGCUUGGCAAGUAGGAUGUGAAAUCCCCCGGCUCAACCGGGGAACUGCGUUCUAAACUGCUAGGCUCGAGUCAGCUAGGGGUGCGCGGAACUUCCAGUGGAGCGGUGAAAUGUGUUGAGAUUGGAAGGAACGCCGGUGGCGAAAGCGGCGCACUGGGGCUUGACUGACGCUGAGGCACGAAAGCUAGGGGAGCGAACGGGAUUAGAUA
rnacentral:rRNA from 1 species